rnacentral:lncRNA from 1 species
UUUUUUUUUUUUUUUUUUUNUUUUGUCUUUUUGUAUUUUUAGGGCUGCACUCACGGCAUAUGGAGGUUCCCAGGCUAGGGGUCCAAUCGGAGCUGUAGCCUCCAGUCUAUGCCGCAGCCACAGCAAUGUGGAAUCUGAGCCACAUCUGCGAUCUACACUGCAGGUCACAGCAACGCCUGAUCCUUAACCCACUGAGCGAGGCCAGGGAUCAAAUCCGUGUACUCAUGUACAUUCAUUGGGUCAUUAGCUGCUGAGCCACAACAGGAACUCCAAGACUGUCGCUCUCUGAACUUUCCACCAUGUGCCAUCCUUUAGCUGAAUCUAUGCCUAAGCAAGGUGCCAUUACUUCAUGGGGAAGCCAGAGGCUAUGAAAAGGGGCUCAUCUCUCUGAGAUGUCAGCUUUCUGGGGCAUGUUGUGGGGGAAGGGCAAAGAGACACCCUUACAAGCAUCUUGUAUAAUGGAAGUCAGCGGUUCCCACUGAUAACUGGCUUGCUUGCAUCCCUUUGUGAGUUCUUCUGAACAGUCCUGCCCUUCCCCUACCAUAACCACACUAGCCGCCCAUCCUCGACACACAUAUUUGACCCAAACCGAUUCACCACCCUACUUCAUCCUUGUCCAUAGAGACUGGUCCAAAAGAUGGAUGAACUAAGCAGGUCAAUUAAGAACUGUUCUCAUGGUUCUUUGAACUGUUAUUAGAAUGGGCGAAUGGGAAGGAAGAGCCUUUUAUCUCUGUUAUCAAAGAAGGCAGGAAGGGAGUCUGGAGCUUCCAAUGUUACAUCCUUGCUUACAGGGUAAAAUCGUGUCUACUAGAAGACAAAACCCAAUACCACGCCGAGAGACACAGUCCUACCAGCAUCGUGUCAUCUCUAAUAACAGCCACGACUUUGAUGGUUCUGCGUUGCAACAAAUCCUCUUGCUUCUGCGAGUCUGAGAUGGGAUUCUGCCUUUCACAACCCAAAAAUCCUUACUACAAAGGUCCGAAAACCAGAACGAAGGUUUUCUCUGAAUGUGAACUGAGUGUGCUUUGAAUGACAAAGCCAAUGGUACUGAACAGAACACACACAGCCUGGAAGCCCUCACAAAUCAGCAAAUGAGUCUUCGCACUGAAUCAAGAUUCCAAGCAAAGUGGAGUUCUCUGGUGGCUCAGUGGGAUAAGGACCUGGCAUUGUCACUGCUGUGGCAUGGGUUCGAUACAUGACCAAGGAAAUUCUGCAUGCAUCGGGCAUGGCCAAAAAAUCCAAACAAAUAAAAAAAACAACAAUGAAAAGGUUCCAGGCAAAAAAUUAUUACUGAAAAAAAUCUCGAUCUUAGUAUAUUUAUUUCCCCCAUCAGUUAAGGUUCUCAAACAUCUCAUCAAAUUUCCUUAGGCUGUCUAGUAUUGUGGUAAAACCUGACAAUAUUAUAUUCAAGCUAAAAAAAAAAAAUCAUUAUCAAGAACAAAACUUACUCGUUUCUAAAACCAGCUUUUCUGUCCAGCCUAAAGCACAUGAGCACCACCCAAAUGUUAUUAAGGUCACAAUAAGGACAUUUAUAUGCUCAUUCUUGCCCUCGUAACAGCAUUUUCAAUCCCCAUAUAUGACAAAUACACACACACACACACACACACACACACACACACACACACACGACCCUGAGACAUUCUAAUUUUAUUUACUUUUUUAUUUUUAUGGUCGCACCUGUGGCAUAUGGAAGUUUCCAGGCUAGGGGUCAAAUCGGAGCUGCAGCUGCAGGCCUACACCACAGCUACAGCAACACUGGAUCUGAGCCACACCAAUACUGGAUCAGCGACCUACACCAUAGCUCACGGCGAUGCCAGAUCCUUAACCCACUGAGUAAGGGCAGGGAUUGAACUCACACCCUCACAGACACUAUGUCGGGUUUUUAACCCACUGAGCCACAACGGGAACUCCAUCAUUCUAAUUUUGUACCUAUAACAAAGACUAAGAUUUUCAAAACUAUAAUUGAGUUCCCACUGUGGCACAGUGGGAUUGGCAGCAUCUCUGCAGCACCGGGACGCAGGCUCUAUCCCAGCCCAGCAGAGUGGGUUAAAGCAUCUGGCGUUGCUGAAGCUGUGGCAGAGGUCACAACUGUGGCUCAGAUCUGGCCUGGGGAACUCCAUGUGCCUUGGGGCAGCCCCCCAAAAGGGAAAAGAAAACCAUAGGGUCAGCACACAAGGCUGUGAACACGGACACCUAGACAGAUACGUUUACAUCUGGAUUCUCACAGAGUCCCUCAUUCUCACUAGGAAUCUACUUGCUUCUAGACAGGACAAAGCAGAGUCCCGUUUGAAGAAGGUCUGAGGGGUUCCGACCAGUUCUUUUAUCUACAACCCCAGAUUUGGGGUUUUCCUGAGCCACUCCAAGGAAUCUGAGAACUCACAGGUCAGAAGGCUUCAUUCAUCCUCUGAAGUGGCCCUCAGCUCUUUCUGCCACCAGCUAUCUCCGUUCACUCUUCCUUGGCUCUCAGGCCUCUUCUCUUUCCCCUGGGGAGUCACCACGUCUCUCCACCUUGGUCCAUGGGCCUUACAGGGAGUAUUGACUUCUUCCUCCUCCCUCCCUCCCCAGUGAGCUCACGCCUAGGGUCUGGCCCAUUAGUGGACCAGAGACCACAGCUUGAGCUUCUCGUUCACGGCUGCACGAUCCUUCCAUCAGCGUCAAUGAGGUGCAAGGAAACGUGAACGUGGAAGGACGAGGGCCUGAUGCUGUUGGGAGCCCUCCUGCCACCACCUGGCGCUGACAGGGAAGCAUACACGGGGGAGGGUGGAGGCAGGAGAUGGGAAGAAACCAGGUGCCCAAGGACAGGAGUCACUCCCGUCCCUGACACCUGGACUGUCAAGUUCAACGAGCCCUCAACUCUGCGGCUCACUUCAGUGAGUCUGAGGCCUGUCUGCAGCCUCCUGCAACAGACAAUUCGACUUGCUAUCCUUCCUUUCUUUCUGAAGAUCAGCACAGGGAAAUAGAAGGGGAGAUAUGAUCAAGUGGGAAGAAUGGGUCCAUAAAGAUAAACGAUGAGUCGGGAAACAAACGCUGUGACCCACAAAGUGAAAUGUCCCAACAAAACAGGUGGUGUCCACGACCUUGUAUCAAAUACCCACCUUAUAAAAUAUAAGCACUGUGGAAGCUCCCUGGUGGUGCAGUGGGUUAAGAAUCUGGCACAGUCACUGCAGUGGCUUGGGUUGCUGCUGUGGUAUAAGAUCCCUGGCCCAGGAAAUUCCACACAUCGAGGGUAUGGCCGAAAAAAUAAAAUAAAAUAAAAUAAAAUAUAAAAUAAAAUAAAAGCAUUUGGUCAAAAGUCAACAAUUGAUUGAACAAGGUCUCCACAGUGAAGCUGAACUCAGAGGUCUUUGUUCAGAGGGCAAUAUGUUAGCCUACCUUUUAUCUGGAAUUCACCACAUGUUAUUUUAAAAUGUAAAACAUAAAUAAAUAAAUAAAAGGAGCUCCCACUGUGGUGUGACAGGAUCGGCAGUGUCUUGGGAGCUCUGGGACUUGGGUUUGAUCCCUGGACCAGCACAGUGGGUUAGGGAUCUGGCAUUGUCACAGCUGUGCUUAGUUCGCAGCAGCGACUCGGAUCUGAUCCCUGGCCUAGAAGAACCAUAUGCCAUGAGGCAGCCAAAAAUUAAAAUUUAAAUUAAAAAAAAAUGUAAAUAGAGGAGUUCCCGUUGUGGUGCAGUGGGUUAAGAAUUGGACUGCAGCAGCUCUGGUCCCUGCAGAGGAGCAGCUUUGAUCCCCAGCCUGGUGCAAUGGGUUAAAGGCAGAGGUCACUGCUGUGGCUGGGGUUCAACCCUGGGCCUGGGAACUUUCAUACACUGUGGGUGUGGCAAUAAAAACUAACUAAAUGUAUUUAUAUUUGUAAAAUAUAAAUAUAAAGUGUAUUUAUUCAUAUUUAUUUAUAUACAUAAAUGUAUUUUUUUAUUUACAUAAAUAGGUCUGGGUGGUGGAAUCAUGGGCAAUCUUUAUUUUCUGAAUUAUUUUUAAGUGAGAUAUAUUAAUUUUACAUUCAGAAAAAAAUACCUAUUUUUAAUCAUAAAGC